CUAGCAGCUGCAUCUGGGGUUGAAUAAGAACCUAACCAAAUUCUUGUCUUUUGAUUAGGUGCCCUUAUUUCAGAAACCCAAGAACCCCAACUUCUCAUUCUAACUCCCUUGUACUUCUUUUUGCACUGCGAUUUUGAGGUCGAGGUCGAGGUCGAGAACAAGGACGAGGACGAGGACGAGGACGAGGACGAAGAUUUGUUAUCUACCUUCACCAUUGUUAACAGGAUUGAAGAAUCUUU
rnacentral:lncRNA from 1 species